AUGCUUUACGGCUUAGAACCAGGACUUCAACGACGUUUUGAACAUCAUGGAGCAUGUGAGAUGUUCCAGGAGUUGAAGUUAAUAUUUCAAGCAAAUGCUCGGAUUGAGAGAUAUGAAGUCUCCAAUAAGUUCUACAGCUGCAAGAUGGAGGAGAAUAGUUCUGUCAGCGAGCAUAUACUCAAGAUGUCUGGGUACUGUAAUCACUUGAUUCAACUGGGAGUUAAUCUUCUGGAUGAUAGCGUCAUUGACAGAAUUCUCCAAUCACUGCCACCAAGCUACAAGAGCUUUGUGAUGAACUAUAACAUGCAAGGGAUGGAUAAGACGAUUCUUCGCAAUGCUAAAGGCUGCGGAGGUAGAAAUCAAAAAGGAGCAUCAAGUGUUGAUGGUCAAUAA
rnacentral:rRNA from 1 species